rfam:Monodelphis domestica chromosome 2, whole genome shotgun sequence.
GCAAAGAGAGUUUAACCAAAACAUUAGAUUGCAAAUCUAAAUAUAGAAGUUUAAAUCUUCUUCUAUGCC